CGCGGGGCUGCAUGGCCCUGCGGCCAAAGGGAGCGAUUCCGGCAACGGAUGGGCAUGCGUGACAUUAGCUAGUUGGCGGGGCAACGGCCCACCAAGGCGACGAUGUCUAGGGGUUCUGAGAGGAAGGUCCCCCACACUGGUACUGAGACACGGACCAGACUCCUACGGGAGGCAGCAGUGAGGAAUAUUGGUCAAUGGGCGCGAGCCUGAACCAGCCAAGUCGCGUGAGGGAUGACGGCCCUACGGGUUGUAAACCUCUUUUGUCGGGGAGCAAAUUCCGCCACGUGUGGCGGAGUCGAGAGUACCCGAAGAAAAAGCAUCGGCUAACUCCGUGCCAGCAGCCGCGGUAAUACGGAGGAUGCGAGCGUUAUCCGGAUUUAUUGGGUUUAAAGGGUGCGUAGGCGGACUGUCAAGUCAGCGGUAAAAUACGGGGGCUCAACCUCCGCCCGCCGUUGAAACUGACGGUCUUGAGUGGGCGAGAAGUAUGCGGAAUGCGUGGUGUAGCGGUGAAAUGCAUAGAUAUCACGCAGAACUCCGAUUGCGAAGGCAGCAUACCGGCGCCCGACUGACGCUGAAGCACGAAAGCGUGGGUAUCGAACAGGAUUAGAUACCCUGGUAGUCCACGCAGUAAACGAU
rnacentral:rRNA from 1 species